rnacentral:rRNA from 1 species
GAUCCUGCCGGAGGCCAUUGCUAUCAGGUUUGAACUAAGCCAUGCGAGUCGAGAGGUGUAAGACCUCGGCAUACUGCUCAGUAACACGUGGUUAACCUGCCCUAAGGUGGAGAAUACUCCCGGGAAACUGGGGCUAAUGCUCCAUAGUGGAUAUGUCCUGGAAUGGUAUAUCCUCGAAAGAUCCGUCGCCUUAGGAUGGGACUGCGUCCGAUUAGGUUGUUGGCGGGGUAACGGCCCACCAAGCCUUUUAUCGGUACGGGUUGUGGGAGCAAGAUCCCGGAGAUGGAUUCUGAGACAUGAAUCCAGGCCCUACGGGGCGCAGCAGGCGCGCAAACUUUACAAUGCGAGCAAUCGUGAUAAGGAAACCCUGAGUGCCUGUCGAUGCAGGCUGUUCAUAUAUCUAAAUCAUAUGUGAAGAAAGGGCAGGGCAAGACCGGUGCCAGCCGCCGCGGUAAUACCGGCUGCUCGAGUGAUGGCCACUAUUACUGGGUUUAAAGCGUCCGUAGCUUGACUGUUAGGUCUCUUGGGAAAUCUUCGCGCUCAACGUGAAGGCGUCUAAGAGAUACCAGCAGUCUUGGAA